UACAGAGGUCCCAAGCGUUGUUCGGAUUUACUGGGCGUAAAGGGCGCGCAGGCGGCAGAUCAAGUCAGACGUGAAAGCCCCGGGCUUAACCUGGGAACUGCGUUUGGGACUGGUUUGCUAGAGAUCGGGAGAGGAGAGUGGAAUUCCCAGUGUAGAGGUGAAAUUCGUAGAUAUUGGGAAGAACACCCGUGGCGAAGGCGGCUCUCUGGGACGGUACUGACGCUGAGACGCGAAAGCGUGGGGAGCGAACAGG
rnacentral:rRNA from 1 species